GCGGGGCCGGGCCCGGCGGGCGGCGGCGCGGGGAGCGGGACUACGGCUCCCGGCGGCCCCCGGCGGCCCCCGGCCGAGGGGUUGCUUCCCAGGUCCUCUUAAUUUGUUUUGAGAAGUUAGAGUUGCCUGUAAUCGUUGGGUAAACCAACAGUCUUGAACGGACAACAGUGACAACCGCCUAAUUAGAAGGAAAACAAAACUCUCUCUCGUGUCUCCAUGUUAACACGACUGGAAAUUGAACGUAGGGGGAUCUAGCAUGUGAUUACUCUUUUUAGACAGGAUUUUCUUCAUAGCUGAAUUGGACCGAGUCCUUUUUCUCCCAAACCAGAUGUCAUCAUUUCGAAAAUGUCGGAGGAACCACGGCUGAGUGUUCUCCUGCUCCCACCUGUGCUUUGGGAUGUGAAAGAAUAACAUUAGCACAUAGAGGCCUCCACUUCCUCUUGGCUGCAUCUGGACCAUUUUAUUAGGCAAUCCACUGAGCCUGUGAUCAGUCUGAGAGCAGCUGAUGAUGAGCAGUGCCAGGAUACAGUACUGGGCUGCUGAUCAAUUUUGCAUCUUUCAGGAGACUUGAAAAAUUAGAUUAAUGAAGCAUCACUCUCAUAAGCCACAGUCUCACCAUGAGGACAUUAGGGCAGCCACAUCUGUACAAAAUAUCUUCACCAGCAAUCUUUCACCCUCUGACAAAUCUUUUCUUCUUGAAGACCAGAAAGAUUGUUAUUGAGCUUUCCACAAAGCUGAAAUAACGCUGUGUGUUAAAAAAAUGUUAACAAUUUGAAGAAGUUAUAAAAAUUUAUAAGUUGACUGAAUACUUUGGAGAUUUCUGCAUAUUUUAAUAUAAAUAGGCACUGCAGCCACUGGGAAUGGACCUGGAGGGCUGUAGCUUUAGUGGGGGCCCCUGGACUGCACGCUGCGUGCAGUUGGCAUUCUUCACCUGUGCUUCUGAGUUACCUCUUCCAGUUCUGUUUUGUACAAAAGGAAUCCAGUUCGCACACCUGGGGCCUGCUCUGUGAUACAAAGUGCAGCAUGAGCCUGUCAUACAGAAGUACCAUUUUACAGAGCACAGACACAGAGAGAAUUAAUGAUGUGCAUAAGUCUGCGUAAGGAAAUAUGUUACAGAACUGAUCUUGGGUUUUCUCAGCUUACGAUGUUUAGUCACUGGACUGGCUCUCCUCGUGCUCUGCAGCACAGUUACAUUCCUUUCUUGCUGUGGCUCUUGGUCAUCCCAUCCAGCACAUCCAAGGAGGCUGCCACAGAUACAGUGAUCAGGGAAGAGACUGUCCUCUUGCUGCUCUCGCUCUGUGGUGUAUCCAUCUGUAGACAGCCUGGCUAAUUUAUAAGUCCCGGAAUCAGGAUCCUACAAAGAGUUGUACAGGAUAAACCACUCUUAUGAAAGGUAUCUUUUCUCUGGAUAAAAGAGAGCUACUGUGAGUCCACUUCCACCAUGGUCAAGUUAUUCGCAGUGUAUAAUGUGAAAGACAAGUCUGGAAGUUUCAGAUAUCUUUUGAAGAGAAUGAAGCUACAUGUAGAUUCAGUACAGCUGUCUAUAGUAAGCCUUUGGAGUUGAUGAAUGAUAAUUUUGGUUCCUUCUGAGAUUGAGGAGUGGAUGACUAAUGUCGUUGUGACUGGUGCCAUCUAAGUGGCUCAAAAGAAUCUUCUGGUUGUUCUCAUGAUUGGCAUCACUUCCCAUCAUGUGCAAGCCAUUGGAGAGCAAAGACCAUCUUUUGAACUGUCAUGCCACCCCCAGCUCUCCAUUGCCUAACUGAGGGUGCAUUGCAAUUGCUGUUCUUACCUACUGUAGUGGUGGAUCAUGGGAAAAAGCUUGCUCAGCCUCAUUCGGGAUGGGAGAUUCCUCCGUACCACAUAACAGCGGAUGUUCUUAACUCAGGCCUGAUGGGGAGAGGUGGCACUCAGGUGAUGAAGAAAUGCUCCACACCAUUCACCAGCCUAGCGAGAAGAAGGCUUUGUGCUCAUUUUGAAAGAGGCCAGUGCCUCUUUCAAAGUUAGCUAGAAGUUCCAGCAAGAAGACCCUUAUUGACCACGUUUUCUCCUUGCAUCCUGAGUUACAGAAUGGUUGGUUGUACACCUGCCUUUGUGAAGUCAGCUGGAGCUCAAAAGUUGGUUGUACUGAGCUUGGACACCACAUUCAGACCAAAGCUAAUCUGCACGUUUUUGAUUACUGCUCCUCAGGACUAGGACUGUGUCUUUUCUGCCUGCGCACCUCCACCAGGUGGAGGAUACAGACUUGAGCCUGCAGGGAGCAGAGUGCUCUGUUCCUGUAAAUGCUCCCUGGGACUGGCCUUCACAGCUGUAGGACUCGGCAGCCCACGGCAGCCAGCCAAGUUGAAUGAAAAGCAUGUGCCUUUUGAAGAACAGCGACUGAAAGAAAUACUGAUGACUGCUGGGACAUCUACAGAAAAGGAUAAGAAAAUUACUCUACUACAACAGAGGCUCUGUUAACUCUUUCUUUGCUAUAUGACCCUAGAACCACAGCCACUUUGCAAGACAGAGAGGAGGAUGAUGGUGGUUGGACUCACCCAGAGGCUGGAACAGUAUUUCGUCAUUAAUUGUUUUAGCUACCGAAUAUCUGCUCUAGCUUUUCUUGGGGAUGGAGCUGCAGUGCCUUCCUCCAGGAUAGACUUGUGGGCUUUUCUCCAGGAAGGCAAAGAAAGAAGUGGACAACACUCAAACACGUAACCUGUGUGGUGGAAGCAUGAGGACAACUUUAAAUGCACGGUGAACUCCAAGAUGUGUGGCAGCUACAGCGUGCCGUGUCCGAUGCGAGUGCAGCCCUCCCAGGCGCCGAAGUGCCGUCGUGUACUCAGUUGCCCUGCAGCAAGCAGUACACCUGCCGGCCCCCCGCCACCUGCCGCCACCGCCGUGUCCCCGGCCCGGCCCCGGCCGCCGCUCGCCGGGCCACCGGCGCCCUCUCUCGGCUCCCCGCGGCCGGGGCUGCCGCCUGGAGCCGGCCGUGCGCGAUCCCCGCAGCCGCGGGAGGUCGGGAGCUGCACGAAAUCCUCGGCAGCGCCUGCAGGAUGAUGUCUGUCCCCGGCCGGUGCGCACAGCGGCUCUGCCCGAAGGCUCGGUUCUCCCGGAUCCCCAAUUUGUAGGGGAUCUGGUGUGCUAGGAGGAGGAGAAGCUGCCUUAAAUUUUAGGUCUUGGUCAAGUUGUGCUGUUCAACAGAGGCAGGCAGCUGCUGGGAAGUAGGUAGUGGGAUUUCCCUUCCAAAUCCUUCACUUGACAGUUCUUUUCCCCAGUUACUUCUUCUGAACCAAGCCCUGUCAGCAGAGAGCUUUGCUUGUACUAAUGAGGUAGGAAUUUAUCAACACACAGCAGCUCUCAAACUCGUGAAAAGACAGACUGGGUGAGGGACUGUCCUAGAGAGCUCCCAGGGGACGCCAGGUUUUGAGAGUGAGCAGCUCAGGUCUGGCUGAAUAAUAACAAUAACCCGUGAUCUAAAUUCUCUACUGCAAACCGCUCUUCCGCCUGGCCUGAAGUUUUGGGUUUGCUAAUUUUUUAAUAGUGUGCGGUUGGGAGUAUUAUUUGUGUUAAUUUCCGAAAAUCUCUUCCUCACACUGCUGUUUCCAAAUUCAAAUUUUAAUGUCGAAUACCAGAACUUAUGUGAAAUCUCUUAAUGCCUCUGGAAACCAAGAAAGUGAAACCAAGUCCUCUCAUUUCAGAGCAGCAUUUUGUAAUAAGAAAAGUAGCAGGCCUUUGCUCCGACAAACACCGCAGUGAGCGUAUUAGGUCCGAAUGCUGGGGGAUUUCAAAGCAGGUCAAGCAUUCCCUUUGGAUCGUACUGCCAGCGUGUCCAGGCAUUGCUGUAACUCUGCUGUGGUCACAGUCAAAAGAGAUGGUGGUGCCUGAGGAAGAAGCAGUUGGCAGCAGAACUUCACACCUCACUUAAACCCAAGGCUCUUAUUAGAGGUUAUGGAGCCUGUGAGCUUCUCUUUGUUCUCUGACCAUGCAGGAACAAGGAAAAACUAUCUGUUAGUAAAAGUGGAAUUGUACAAGGUUGCUAGAGUGCGGAAGCUGGCCCUGGAGAUGCGAGAGACUCCCAAAGCCCUUUCAGCCCAACAAGGAGGCAAUGCUGAUAGAAAAGGCAGCCACCAAGCCCCACAUCCAGCUGGAGAGCCUGAUGUACUGGCUUUUUUUUUUUUCUGCAAGUUUUUUUUUUUUUUUCCUGCACAUCCUUCAGUCUGGCCUGUUCACAAGCAGGAGGUAGAAAUAAUUUUGGAGAAAACAUCUCUGCAGUUCUGGGCUGUUCCUUUGUUUUCUACAGAAAAGACAGACUGGACCAGAAGAUUGGGAGUCCUUAACCUGUAGGUAUUGAGGGGAUUUCUGUCAGCUUAUGUGCUCUCCAGGCCUUAUUUCUCAGAAAUUCAAGGAAGCAGAGGGGUGGAGAUGAUGGAAGGUGGAUUUUUGGCACAGUUUGCUGCAUAGGCCGAUGAUAUAUAUCAAAAUAUCAUCCAGCACAGUUUGUCAGGACUUGGUGUGUCACCUAGUAACAGGCUUUGCAAUUAGAUCUCUUGUUGCUCUUACAAGUUUAAAAAAUCCCACUGGCCUUGUGAGGACUCCACCACCCAUGUUUCUCUCUCCAAGGAGGUGCUCUGUCUGAUAGCCCCAGCAUGUUUUGUACUGACUCCAGUUCCAAAGCCAUGGAAAUCUGGGGCAUGUCUCCUCCCUGAGCUCCAACGCUCAUCAUCUUCUCCUCUAGCAUUUGUCAGGCAGCUCAGUGUGCUGCCUUCUGAACCUCUCUGGUGCAUUGCUGUGCGGUCAGAUGUGCCAUUGGGAAAGCCCAUCCUUUCCUGCAGCUUUCUGCGAGGGUCUGGUUCCCCUCUCCACGACCCACCUGGCAUUGGGAGCUCCCACAAACCUUUGAAGCCCGAGAAAUUUUGCUUCUGAAACUCCGGACACAUCAGGUUGACAGCAGCUCAACAUCUGGAGUAGCAACCUAAAUAUUUAUAUGUACAGCGAGUCAUGGUGGUGGUGGUAAAUCAUCCUGGUUAAUGAAUUUUCAGCAUGGCUUUAGGUAGCUAUUGUUUUUGUAAACAAAUGGUUUCACUCUGCAUGUUUCUCCAUAAGGGAUGGUUUGAGAAAGCGCUGCUGACAGCUGCGAGCAAGUAGCGGUGCUGUAUCAGACAUUUUAUGCCCCUUUGAUGUCACGCGCUAUGUGGUAAUGCAGCACGGUGGUGGUUAAUGAGAAAGCGGGGUACGCUGCCUCCUGUCAUUCCUAGACAAGAGCUGCAGGCUCUUGCACGUGUCUUUAAUUCUGUGUGCGAGCAUCCUGCAGAAUGGUGGGCAGCUUCGGUGAGACUUUCGAGUGAUUUGUUUUCUACAGCACUGAACAAGCAGCCUGGCUCAGCACAGCUUCAAAGAAUGACAUUUUUAAUAUUUUGAUUGACUCAGUACAAAAAGGGAUGAGACUCCAGCAGCUUGGAAAGGCACAGUUAUUGUGGUAGGUGUUACCCAGUGAUUAAUGUCUCUUACUUUAAAUCCAAACCUCUCAGCUCCUUUCAUACAUUUUUGCUAGCAACAGCAGAUCCUCUGCCAGUCUCCUAGGUCUGAAUUUCUUGAGGUGCAGACAGUGCCAAUUUUGGUUUCUUGGCAAUUUUGGGCUUAGGAGUUCAGCUUUGACUACGCGUUCAGAUCCCUGAGUAUUCUGCAUGGAAGUUGUUGAUCUGCGGAGCUGAUUUAUGGAAUGUAUUAUUCUGCUUUCCUGCAGCAUUUUUACUGUAUGGAAAACAUUUUGUGCUUAUUAUCACUUGCCACAUGCAUUUAAUCUAUUUUUGGUAAUUCUUCAGGGCCCAUCACCAUGGUAUCCUAGCACCAGUGAACAUAAUGCCCAUAUCCAUUCAAUGUGAACUGCUGAUGCACAACUCCUUUUAAUAUUAACAUGGCUUCGUUAUGUUACUUAUUAUUUUUUUUCAAAUACAAAAUGUUUGUGCUUAAAAAUAAAGACUUAAAGCUAAAGCCACGUGUACUAUAGAUGGAACCAUUUCUGGCUGAACGAGCUGAGUUAACCAGCCCAAGGGGCUGGGCCUGCCUCUUUCAGCUGGCUGCACCUUAUGCUGUUGCUGAUACACUUGAGAUAACUUUUAAAAAGGAUCCGUGUCACUCAUAGUGGCCAAAGUACCAUGCUCUGUCUUGUGGCUCUAUCUAGAUAUUUUUUGUGUGUGCUGGAUACUCCGUGGAGUGUACAGCCUGUGACAGGUUGCCAUUGGUGUAACGUACUGAGGGGGACGGUCAGUAAACCUGCUGGAUAGCAGCAGAUCCAGGAGUGCUGAGUGCUGCCAGUCUCCAGUGUCACUUGCUGUCCCCCUUCCAGCACUGUUGAUGGCACAACAGUAGUGGUUCAGUCAGUUCUCUCUGAGCUCACACAGUAGGAAAAUGAAGUGUUCAGGGGCCGUAAGUGAUGAGUAUGUAGGAAAUAAUGCUGUAAUAGGUUGUGAUUCAGCUUCUACUUUUUCCAACAACUGAAAUUUUCUAAGGUAAAUGGCUCGGUGAAAGACAAUAACAUGCACAUUUACCAUGUUCAGCGUUUUUUGUAUUACCUAUGUUUAUCUCUUGAUAAAUCAUUAUGCAAAUAAUUCUGGAA